GAUGAAGAACGCAGCGAAAUGCGAUAAGUAAUGUGAAUUGCAGAAUUCAGUGAAUCAUCGAAUCUUUGAACGCGCAUUGCGCCCCUUGGUAUUCCGAGGGGCAUGCCUGUUCGAGCGUCAUUAUAACCCCUCAAGCUCAGCUUGGUAUUGGGGCCUGCCAUCCUGGCAGCCCUUAAAAUCAGUGGCGGUGCCAUCCGGCUCUAAGCGUAGUAACUCUUCUCGCUAUGGAGUCCUGGUGGAUGCUUGCCAUUAAUCUUUUAACUUCUAUGGUUGACCUCGGAUCAGGUAGGGAUACCCGCUGAACUUAAGCAUAUCAAUAAGCGGAGGA
rnacentral:misc_RNA from 1 species